AAGCUCCCGGCAUGAAGCGCGGCGCUCCUGGCCUGCACCUUGGCGCGCGGAGCUGGCACUUUGGCGCGGUUGGCGACGGUGGGGAGAGCUGUAGAGUGUGAAGUUCCUUGUCUGCUGGCAGCCAGAGGCGACGAGUCUGGACCUCAUGGAAGUCCAGACUCUAGUCUGGGCGCGUCCCUUUUGACGGCGUUUCGCUCUUAUCACCCAGGCUGCAGUGCAAUGGCACGAUCUCGGCUGACUGCAACCUCUACCUCCUGGGUUCAAGCGAUUCUCCUGCCUCAGACUCCUGACUAGCUGGGACUACAGGAAGGAUGUCGAUUCUGCGCUUCUCAGUAACUACGUGAGUUGGGGCUUUCUCAUGUGCCAAGACUGGUCUCGAAGUACUGGACUCAAGCAAUCCCCCCACCUUGACCUCCCAAAGUGCUGGGAUUACAGGCCGAGCUAUGACACCCAGCCUUCAGUUAUACAUUUCAAAGAACGUAAAAUAAUUUCCAUUAUAUUCAUUUAUUCUUUCACUCAUCUAAAUACUUAUUGAGCAUGUACUGUGUGAACUGACGCUACGUGCCGGGGAUCCAGAAGUGAACGAGCCAGACGAGGUGCUGCCCUUGUGGACCUUAAAUUCUAUUUAGGGAAGAGAAACAAUAAACAUGUAAACACAUUCCAGAUUACCUGCAGCAAUGGACACACCUUGUAACAGAUACACAGGAAAAUUAGAAGGGGAAACUCUAGAUCAGUGCUUCUGAAAUUUUUAAAGCACAAUCACUUUGGGGUCUGGUUAAAAUGUAGCUUUUCCUUCAGUGGGUCUGUGGUGGGGCCUAAGACUCUGCAUUUCCAGAGAAAACACAACACAAAAUGAAAUGCUUGCAGGCAACACUGACGCUUCUGGUCUGAAGCCCACACUUGGAGAUCCAUAGCUGUGGGCAGAGAAGGGGUGCAGCAAGCUCCUCUAGCUUGAUGGUCGGGAAGGACCUUUUCCAGGAAUGAAGUUUUGAAUGAGAUCCUGAGUGAUGGUAAGCAAUCGGUCUCAUGAGCAAUGGCAAGUCAAAGGCCUUGAGGUAGGAAUGAGCUGUGGGUGUGCCAAGGAAGGCUGUCGAGGCUGGGGCAUGGUGAUUGAGGAGAGUGACAGGAGAACUGGGAGCGAGUCCAAUCAUUUACAUUAUUUAGGACCUUGUGUGUAGGCCAUGCCGAAGAGUUUGAAUUUUAUUCUAAUUGCAAUGAAAGACGUUUAGUAGCUUUCAAACUGGAGAGUGAGAUAAGCUUAUUUAUGAUCACUCUUCACUGCUGCAUAAAGAACAAACUGCUGGGGGCCAGAGUACAGACGGGGAAACGAUAUGCAAUCAAACCUCUUAGCCCUACUCAUCCCAGGCAGGAAUUCCAAUUUAAAUCACUGCCUUUGGCAACAGAAAUAAAUGGCAUACUGCCAAAAUUA